UACGUAGGGUGCAAGCGUUAAUCGGAAUUACUGGGCGUAAAGCGUGCGCAGGCGGUUCUAUAAGACAGAUGUGAAAUCCCCGGGCUCAACCUGGGAAUUGCGCUUGUGACUGCAAGGCUAGAGUGCGUCAGAGGGGGGGUAGAAUUCCACGUGUAGCAGUGAAAUGCGUAGAGAUGUGGAGGAAUACCGAUGGCGAAGGCAGCCCCCUGGGACGUGACUGACGCUCAUGCGACGAAAGCGUGGGGAGCAACAGG
rnacentral:rRNA from 1 species